UGGUGGUAUAUGGCAGCGUUGGUGGGAUUUGUCAGCGGUGGUGGUAUAUGGUAGCGGUGGUAUGAUACGGCAGCGGUGGUGAUUUUUGUUUUUCUGUAACCUACUUAGGCAAGGAAACACAAAUAAAAUAUUAGAUGGAUCUCGAAAACAAACCUAAUAUGAAUGGAACUUGGAUUGGUGGUGGAUAUAUAGUGGUAGGAUAUGGUAGCUGUGGUGGUAUAUGGCAGUGUUGGUGGGAUAUGUCAGCGGUGGUGCUAUAUGGUAGCGGUGGUAUGAUAUGGCUGCGGUGGUGGUUUUUUUUCCGAAACCUACUCAGCCAAGGAAACACGAAUCGGAAAUUAGAUGGACCUCGAAAACAAACCUAAUAUGAAAGGAACUCGGAUUGGUGGUGGAUAUAUAGUGGUAGGAUAUGGCAGCGGUGGUGGUAUAUGGUAGCAUUGGUGGGAUAUGUCAGCGGUGGUGGUAUAUGGUAGCGGUGUUAUGAUAUGGCAACAGUGGUGUUUUUUUUCCAAAACCUACUCAGUCAAGGAAACACGAAUCGGAAAUUAGAUGGAUCUCGAAAACAAA